UAUCCCGGCAUUCAAGACUGACCCGGCAAACCCCGGCAAAGAACUUAUUUUAUGAAUGAAAGCUAUUAAGAAAUAAAUCAUACGCGGUUAAAGAGUUCAUGUCAUGUAAUAUUUUGUGAAAUAGCUUUUAUGUUUCAAAUGAUUUUUUUCAGCAGCAAUCGAACUAGUGUAUUUGUUUGAGUAAAUUAUUUGGAUUAUACCUAUCACAGUGUGUCAACGUUAUGCCUAUUGUUAUUUUGGACUAUAGGGUGUAGUUUUUAAAGUCAUACACAAUAUGGCGGCGAUUAUGCGGAAAUGAAAUUGAAUGUUACUUCGAACACGUUCUUCUACAAAAUAACCGACCUGUAUUUAGUGCUAUUGCUUUAACAUCAAUCGAAGCAAAGAUGGCAUCAAUGUAUGCGUCUAAAAAUGUUAAAUUUAGAUGGAGACAAUCCAGAAAUGAGCUGCCAGGAAGUGAUCGAUUUCGGACACGAAGAUUGAGAAGUGCCUGGAUACAAGGCUAGUAUUGUUAACAUCAUCUGAUAUAAUCAACUGGAACAAAGCUGAAAUGGCUGCCUGACCUGACUUAAAAAUUGGAGGGCAGUACAUCAGACUAGAAGAUUAGAAGUAUUGAGGUGGACAAAAUGAAACAUGAGCCUACCAAAGCUGACAGAUUGCACAAGAAACACAUAAAUGCAGAUUGGAAGAUUCAUUCUCUGAAAAGUAGAAAAGGGCAUGUUACAUACUGUUAUCACUGCCAUGACAGAAACCAUAUUGAGGAGCUGGUCCACCUGUAGGAAGAAUUGCGCUAUUGGUUGGAGCAGCACUAUUACCCAGCCAUACACCAGCACUUAGUUUGUCAUAGGGAGCAUUUCUGAGCAGUUAUGGAGACCAAUAACUAUGCAGUUGUUGCAGUGAAACUUGCACCAGUGUGUUUUCUGUGGAGAUAAAGAGAUAGUGUCCAGCAAUGAAGACCCAACUCAAGAUCUGACCUUGUAAGGCCAAUAUGAAAUAACUGUGUGGGAAAAUGGGAAAAACCUGCAGUCAGGAAUGCACGGAAAUCAUCAAAAGAACAGUGUUAAAUUAAUCUUGAAUAACUUGACAUUUAUUUUGUUUGACAUAUUUAUUCAUGGUGCAGUGAAAACUUUCUUUUUUUCUCAUAGUUAUUUAAAUUUAGAAUUGAUAGGAGGGAACAUCACUAUGUAGUUUCAUGUUCAUAGUCAGAUCAAAACCCAUGUUCAUGCCCAAAUGAGCAUUCGAAAAUAUCAAAAUGGUACUUGUUGUAUGUAGUGUAAGUUAAUUAACAUAAUGAACAAAAAUAUUUAAUCAAUUUCAAUUUAUAAUGCCCCUUUAAAAGAAGAGGAGUAUAUUGCUUUGCACAUGUUGGCCACUACGUCCGUCUGUCUGACAGUAGGCCAAAGCUUUUCCGGGUGAUAACUCUACAAUUCCUAGACCUAUUGUCAAACUUGACAUGAAAGUUUGGUUUAACCAGUAGAUGACCCCUUUUGAUUUUAGGGGUAAUAUGGUCAAAGGUCACAGUGACCUUGAACAGGAAGGUGUCAAACCAUACAUCUGACUGAUAAGUUGACAAUGCCUGCACCUAUGGCCCUCAAGGGGUCAUUGGGUCAAAAGUCAAGGUCAGAGUGACCUUGAAUGCUUAAAGGUUGUACUAAUAAUGACUGGACAAAGCCUGCACCCAUGGCCCUUGAACAAUUUGACUUUGGGGUUGGGCCUGAUCAGUAGGUGAGCCCUAUUGAUUUGUCACAGACCAUUGAACGCAAAAAGCUUGCCUGUGUGACAACUCGACAAAGUCUGCACCCAUGGCCUUCAAACUUGAAAUUUAGGUUUGGGGUGACCAGCAGAUGACCCCUUUGGAUUUGGAGGUCAAGGUCGCAUCUCCAAUAUUGGUCAUUAAAACUAUGUCAUUUACUUAUUCCCUGCUGCUAAGAGGAUACAUGUUUAUCAGCAAAUAUCAGCCGUCAUCUGAAUAUGAGUGAAAACUGUACCAACUACCCUCAUACUUUGAAUAGCAUAAUCUUAAAACUGCAUCAAAGGCAUCUUUUGUCAAUGAAAAACCAGCUGUCAUUUCGGUCCAUGCAUAUUUCAUUCAAUUGUCCAGAUAUUCUUGACAACAUGGCGCUAAUUAAUGCUGCAGGUUUGAAAUUUAAGACAUUAGUUUUUUUUCUUCAGCACCAUGCAGAUUUAUUAACACUUUUAUAAUAAAAACAAACUAGAAAACACAUUUUAAAGAUAUUAGUUUUUUUCAUGGUAUGAUGCCACAGCACCAUGCAGAUUUGUUUUCACUUUUAUAUCAAAGAAAGUAACUCGAGCACAAAUUUUGUAGAUAUGUGGACUCUGUUGAUAGAAGUUCUGGGAGGCAUUUUAGGCUUGAAAGAGCAUCAUUUUAAAGUUAUAUUUUUAUUAUGUCCCUUGAAUCUUGGGUAUAGUUUGUAUUGUAUUUGCAUUUUAAAGACAUUGGCUUCAACAGACCCUAAUGAAAUGAAGGAAUGUAAUUGCUUACUGAAACUGUUAUAAGCGACGUCAUAAAUUGAAGCAAUUUUAACAUAAUGAAUAUGCAUUUAACUAAUUUAAAGCGGUUCAAAAUUAGGAAAUUUGAAUUAAGAAUCUUGUAGGCCAUUGGAUACAUGAUUAAGUAGGGCCAAUAUAUUUGUGCUUAUUAUAAUCACAUUUAUCCUUCUUCAUCUACCUUAAAGAGUGUUCAUCAUUUGUAUGAAAUCAUUUGAUCACGUUUCAUUUGAAAGAACUUUGCGGUAGUGUUUGCUUGCUUCAGUUACGUCACCGACAGUCUUGCAGCGCUUUCAGCGCUUUGAUUCUAUUUUGUUCUUGCAAUGUUAGUGUUUCCAAAUGCAGAAGUGGAAAGUUUAUUUUUGGUGCCAAAACUGGUGGGAGUCCCUUUAGGAAUGAUAACGAACAGAGUCUUACCUUUUUGUGUUGAUAAAAAACAUAGAGUAUGAUUUGUUAUGCCUUUUUGUGCAUUUGCAGGUGUGGUUCCAGAAGUAAUAGGUCGAGUUAUUGUGAUAGCUCAGGUGACAUUGAAAUUAAAUACGUGUAAAAAAGAAACCACUAUUUCUUAUCU